rfam:Trichobilharzia regenti genome assembly, scaffold: TRE_scaffold0035443
CUACUGAUGAAGAGUCCCAAACUAGGUGGGACGAAACAGCUUUCCAGUAC